GACGAACGCUGGCGGCGUGCUUAACACAUGCAAGUCGAACGGAAAGGCCCAGCUUGCUGGGUACUCGAGUGGCGAACGGUGAGUAACACGUGGGUGAUCUGCCCCAAACUUCGGGAUAAGCCUGGGAAACUGGGUCUAAUACCGGAUAUGACCUGCUCCUGCAUGGGGGUUGUGGAAAGCUUUUGCGGUUUGGAUGGGCCCGCGGCCUAUCAGCUUGUUGGUGGGGUAAUGGCCUACCAAGGCGACGACGGGUAGCCGACCUGAGAGGGUGUUCGGCCACACUGGGACUGAGACACGGCCCAGACUCCUACGGGAGGCAGCAGUGGGGAAUAUUGCACAAUGGGCGCAAGCCUGAUGCAGCACGCCGCGUGAGGGAUGACGG
rnacentral:rRNA from 1 species